rnacentral:rRNA from 1 species
UACGUAGGGGGCUAGCGUUGUCCGGAAUCAUUGGGCGUAAAGAGCGUGUAGGCGGCCCGGUAAGUCCGCUGUAAAAGUCAAAGGCUCAACCUUUGAAUGUCAGUGGAUACUGCCGGGCUAGAGUCCGGAAGAGGCGAGUGGAACUCCUGGUGUAGCGGUGGAAUGCGCAGAUAUCAGGAAGAACACCGACGGCGAAGGCAGCUCGCUGGGACGCAACUGACGCUGAGACGCGAAAGCGUGGGGAGCAAACAGG